UGAAGUGGGGAAAUGUUCCAUGUGAACAUCACUUGGACAUGGUCGGUUAGUCGAUCCUAAGAGAUGGGGAAUUCUUGUAUCAAGGGUGCACUCUGCAUGAACAUCAAAAGAGAAUUGGGUUAAUAUUCUUGAACUGGGACAUGGUGGUGGAUGACAAUGUUAGGAAAUCUGGAGAUGUCAUCAGGGGCCUGGGAAGAGUUAUAUAUAUUUUUUAAUGACUUUCCCACCUUGAAAUUGGUUCAACCAGAGAUAGGGUCCAACAUAUGAAAGAGAACCACAUGAAUUUCGGUGUUUGGUGCCCCCUCGAUGGCCAUUGUCAAUAUGGUGAACCGAGUACCAUCCAUUCCCGAUCGUACUCAUAUCUGCCUCUUUGUAUUUUUCAAUGUCCACUAGGUUAGCGAUCUUGA
rfam:Picea glauca, whole genome shotgun sequence.